UACGGAGGGUGCGAGCGUUGUCCGGAAUCACUGGGCGUAAAGGGCGCGUAGGCGGCGCGGGAAGUCAUCGGUGAAAGUUCAGGGCUCAACUCUGAAUCGGCCGGUGAUACUCUCGUGCUCGAGCACUGUAGAGGCAGGUGGAAUUCCGGGUGUAGCGGUGGAAUGCGUAGAGAUCCGGAAGAACACCGGUGGCGAAGGCGCCUGCUGGGCAGUAGCUGACGCUGAUGCGCGACAGCGUGGGGAGCAAACAGG
rnacentral:rRNA from 1 species